rnacentral:rRNA from 1 species
GUCUACAGCCAUGCCACCCUGAACAAGCCAGAUCCCCUCUGAUCUCGGAAGCGAAGCAGGAUUGGGCCUGGCUAGUACUUGAAUGGGAGACCACCUAGGAAGACCAGGAGCUGUACGGG